UGUUGGCUCAGAACCCUUUAGUCCUCCAAAGAAGAUUCCGAGUGGAACUCCAUUUUUAUCAUAACCAGCAGGUACAUUGAUCCCUGGAUAACCUCCUAUCGCGAGAAGAUGAGCAAUGUCAGCACCAGGUGAUAUCAAUGCGUCUAACGCCUUUUCCUUCAUCAUCUUCUCGAACCCGUAUUUGCAUGCUUUUGUUAUGUUCCACAGAGCCUCCCUUUCCAAUUUCCCUAUACCAUUCGUCUUCUCAGCUGCCACCAUUAUGUCUUGACCAUAUUCUUCAACUUUUUCCUACAAUGAUUAUAAAAAGAAAGAAGAAAAAUCAACUUAGAUAACCACAGAUCCAACCUCUUAAACAAAAUAUAGCUUGCGGAUGUAUAAUAUGUGUAUAAUCGAUAUAUAACAUGUGUCUAACCGUGUAUAAUCUGUGUAUAUCGGCAAUGAACGAUAAACAGUGAAUCCGGCCAACUAUUUUUGUAAAGAUCCCUAAAAAGAAUGAAAAACAGAUAUAGUUCGAUUCUACUUCUACAGACAUAUGUAGUUCAGCUAAUUUCAAUUAACAAGUGAAAGCUUUUAAUUCCUGCAAUAAUGUACUGCAAACCAAUAUGAACAUAUUGUUAAAAAUUAUUUAUGAACAAAGUACUACUGGAAUGACUUUGGCCCGAAUAUGACAGGAAUGGUUACAGAAUUGCAUAACUGAUUUCAACUUAAUUGUUUAAUAUCAAGGUGCAGUUAACUGAUCGACUGAUGCUUACCGAAGCUGAAAUCUUGUUGAAGGCUAUAACAUCUGCCAAGGAUCGGACUCGAGUGUAGACUAACUCUUUAAGAUAUGCAUUUAGGUUCAUCUUGAAUUCAGCAGAAUGUACUAUUCCUUGAGAAACAACAAGAGCAUCUCGGACCAAGUCGAUGUUAGGUAUUUCGAGGUUGUCAACUAAUACUGCUCCUUUUUUCCUUCAAAUAUUUCCAAGAAAAAAAGAUGCAUCUCUUAUAGUAUUAACAUAAUAAAAUCAAAAUCAAACAUGAUAGGUACCAUUUGAGCCAUUAUGCAGAUUGAUCAAAGACUAGGUCUUCCUCUCUAUUACCUUUUGUUUAAUAUUGCCCUGUCAAUGAGAUUGCAACCACACACCAAAGGUUAUGAAUAACUCUGACAAUGUGUCUGUAUAAGGCAUAAUACAUGUGUGGCAUGCACUCAAACUUGGCCUCAACUGACAAAUAAACACUCAAAACUUCUCAAGUGUGCAUCUAGACAUCUGAACUUGGUCUCAACUGGCAACUAAACAUUCCAACUUGUCCGCACUGUGUUUUGUGGACACUAGACACUGACAUGACACAUAAAUUUUGGAGGUGUCUAUCAUUUUGUAAGUUAAGAGUGUUCAACUGACACAAUGGAGAGACGAGUUGAGGUCAAGUUAAAGUGUCAAUAUAUAUAUUAUGCCUUCAUAUAAGGUCUAGAGAGAGGACCUAGCUGCAACUAGUGAAAUCAUGAUGGCCCUCCCAUUACGCCUAUCAAGUUGAGCCUACAUGCACCGCUAUACUGGACCACCAAGCACAUAAAGUGCACGACCUAAUAAUGACUAAAAUUAAACUAUAGAAAUGUAAGUACACAUGAAAAGGAUUACCUUAAGGUGUUAACAUGCUGUCGAGAAGUCUUGAUUUCGUUGGAACCAAAAAGGUCCUUUGAAAUACCUAGUCUUUUAUCUUUAAGCCCAUCAGCCUUAAGAAAUUGCCGGUAUCCACCAUGAGGAAUGUAAGUGGAAGCCUUUUUAGUUGCUAGAAAAUCAUCUUGAUCGAAGCCAACGAUGGCAUCAAGAACCUCAACAGCAUCAGAUACUGUCCUGCAAAUUGGCCUGUUCUAUGACAAAAAAGCAUCGUAUGAAAACAUUUUCAAUGUCUUCUAUUUUCAUGUUUGGUACCAAGUACUUUACAUUUUUGCUUCUCUAAUGCAGCCUACAACGUCUAAAUUCUGGAUCUAAUACUAAACACAAGUAGUCCUAUUUUGCACCAUCAAAUUUUCGCAGCUGUCCAAAACUCUGGCAUUAAAUAGUUCAACAAAGAGAAAAAAGAAUACUCCAUCCAUCCAAAAAGAAUGAUACAUUUCAUUACACUUCCGAUAUGCUAGUUUCAACGACUCACUUUCGUUACACUUAUUCCUUGUGGCUUGGGAUAUAGUAGGUAUCUGGUUUACUGCUUUAGGUAUCAACACUAUGGCUUUCAAUCUAAAUAGUUUCAAUUUCAACCAAUCUACAGUUGAUAGUCAAGGGCUUUCCUUUCUUUCUUAAAGUACGUGCCGAGUCAAACUAUGUCACAUAAAUUGAGACGAUUAAUUUUUACUUACCCAACAGUGUCUUGCCUAUGUGAAAUUGGGAUAACACCUGCCCUGCUAGUGAGGCCAACAGUUGGUUUGAUUCCAACAACUGAAUUAGCAUAUGCUGGAUAUAGAAUGGAGCCUGCUGUUUCUGUCCCCAAUGCUACCGCUGCAAGGUUUGCUGCUACUGAUGUUGCAGAACCAGUGCUUGAUCCUGAUGGAUUAGCACUUGCUACAUAAGGAUUCUGUAAUAACAUGAGUAAAAACACUAAAUUAUUACUCUUUUUAGUCAAAUUGUCCUAAAAAAAAGGCAAUCUGGUGAACGAAGCAUAUUUUGCAUUCAGGUAGAAUCCGUCAAUGCCAGCAACAACCUAAGAGGGUACGAUGUAGGUAGUCUACCCUGACACAAGCAUCAGUGACUCAUUCGCCGUCUCGAAAAUGUGAGGUCACACGAAGAAAGCUUUACCAUUGCUCCAACUUAAAGUAUUAUAUACUACUUACUUCGUUUCAAUUUGUGGCACAGUGUCUAAGAAAGUAAAAAAGAUUCUCGAAUCUUGUGAUCUCAAAUAAUGUACCAAAAUGUCCUUUAAUCUUAUGGCCAUAAACAUGUCAUGGGAAAAGUUGAAAUUAAAGAGUUAGCAGAAAAAGGAGACAUCUUAUUGUAACGGACGAAAAACAAAAGUAAGACAAAUAAACUAAAAGAGAGGGAGUAGUUUUUUUCCAGAUCAUAUACUACUUUAAAUCUUUGUUUCUCUUUCAUUCCUAUCUUUUGCAUCUUAACUAAUCACAAAUUUUGCAAAAUAAAUCUAUUUUUACUAACCUGCUCAACUAUCCGAGUUAAACGACUUGAGUUAUGACCCCUUUUUUUGACUUGACCAAAGGGGUUAUGUUAGAGUUUGUGACCCGAAUUUUGUUGAUCCGGCCCUGAAAAGUUCACGGUGCAACCCAUGUUUGUGAUUUUUUGUGGGGUCUGUGGUGAUAGCGGAGGGAUAUUUUGUGAUUUGUUCUUCACUACCAGUGGCGCCACAAUAUUCUAUUGCUAAAGACAGGCCUAGGAGAGAUAUUAGACCUCCUUAGAAGUAUGGUGAAGCUGAAUUGGUUGCUUAUGCAUUGAAUGUAGCAGAAGGUAUUGAUUCCGGUGAAGAACCUUCUUUUUACUCAAAGGCAGUUAGUUGUGAUGAUUCUGGCCGAUGGAUGAUUGCUAUGCAGGAGGAGAUGGAAUCACUUCAUAAGAAUGACACAAGGGAUCUGGUUAGAUUGCCUAAAGAUAAGAAAGUUGUCCAUUGCAAGUGGGUAUUUAAAAAGAAAGAAGGAACAUCGGGAGUUGAAAAUGCUAGGUACAAAGCAAGACUAGUUGCUAAAGGUUACAGUCAGGUUCCAAGUGUUGACUUCACAGAUGUGUUUUCUCCAGUUGUAAAUCAUAGUUCGAUUUGAGCCUUAGUUGGUAUUGUGGCCAUGCACAAUCUUGAGCUUGAGCAGUUGGAUGUUAAAACUGCAUUCUUACAUGGAGAACUUGAGGAGGACAUCUAUAUGCAACAACCAGAGGGUUUUGUAGUCUCAGUCUAGGAAGACUAUGUAUGCUUGCUGAAAAAGUCUCUUUAUGGCUUAAAACAGUCGCCCAGAUAGUGGUAUAAGAGAUUUGACUCUUUUAUGACAGUAGUUAUGAUAGUUGUGUCUAUUUCAAGGAGGUAAAUGAUGGUUCAUUCGUGUAUCUUCUCUUGUAUGUUGAUGAUAUAUUGAUAGCAACAAAGGAUAUGAGAGAGAUAAUAGAAGUCAAAGUCCAGCUCAGCAAGGAGUUUGAGAAGAAGGAUCUAGGAGUAGCAAAGAAGAUCCUUGGCAUGGAAAUUCUGAGGGAUGGAGAGAAGUGUAAGUUAUACCUGAAUAAGACAAGGUAUAUUGAGAAAGUGCUUCACAGGUUCAAUAUGCAAAAUGCCAAACCUGUCAGUACUCUAUUGACAGCUCAUUUCAAACUCUCGGCUACAUUAUCCUCAAAGACAGAUGAUGAGUGUGACUAUAUGUCUUGAGUUCCAUACUCUAGUGCCGUUGGAUCUCUUAUGUACGCGAUGGUGUGUUCCCGAUCAGGUGUAUCAUCUACCGUUAGUACAGUUAGCAGAUACAUGGCAAAUUCUGGUAAAGAACAUUGGAAAGAAGUUCAGUGGAUUUUCAAAUACUUGCAUGAAUCUGCCGAUAUUUGUUUGUAGUAUGGGCGAUAUAGAGAUGGAGUGAUCGGGUAUGUUGAUUCUGAUUUUGCAAGAGACCUUGAUAAAAGGAGAUCCCUUAUAGGCUAUGUUUUCACCAUUUGUGGUUGUACUAUUAGUUGGAAAGCUACUUUACAGACUACAGUUGCCUUGUCAACUACUGAUGCAGAGUACAUAUUACAAAGGCUUGCAAAGAAGCUAUUUGGUUGAAAGGUCUGUUUAGUGAACUUAGCAAAGACUAACAAAUUAUUACGAUCUUUUGCGACAACCAGAGUGCUAUCUUCCUUAUAAAAGAUCAGAUGUUUCAUAAGAGGACAAAGCACAUCGAUGUUCGGUACCAUUUUGCGUGUGAGAUUAUUGCUCGUGGUGAUAUUGUGGUAAGCAAGAUUAGUAUCUAUGAUAACCCCGUUGAUAUGAUGACCAAGACACUACCAAGUGCCAAGUUUGAGCAUUGCUUGGACUUGGUUGGUGUCAGCAGUUAAGAUGUGCCCUGUUAGAUCAAUGAUGUUCUGAUGAUUGAUAUAUAAAUAAAUCAUGUUACUUUAGUUGGUCCAAUCACACGAAGACAGUCACUAAGGGAAGUAGAUGAGGUUCGUCAAAGCUUGAAUGGAUAAGUUCUAUUGAGUAAUCACGUGUGAUAAAGAAGAAGUUGUAGUUGAAUACAACAAUUUAUUGAUAAGCUGAAGAGAAAAAAGAGAAAGAGUUUUAAUCAAACAAGGAGAUCAAGUUGAAGAAGGAGUUUUACCAAUACAAGGAGUUGUACUAGAAGACGGACUUUGAGUUGACAACAAACUCUGUUAAAUUAAAGAGUCCAAAGCAAGGUAGAAAACCAAUGACUUUGAAGGACUCUUUGAAGAGUUGUUAUAUAUCAAGGGAGUAACUAAUUUCGUCACUCACGCACUUACAAAGAUAGCAGCACAUCAACGAAUUAGCAGUGAAGUUCCAAAUCUUGAAGCAGCCUGAGUUGAACCUGUUCCUAGUAUUUAGAGUUCGUGAGUCUUAGACAUUAUGUAUUAGAAUGGCUCUUAAGUUGUAUUGUUUUCUAGUCUCAGAGAAGUAUAAACUGAGUUAGGAGCAUUGUCUUCAAGUUGGGAACUCGAAGACUUGGGAACACUCACCUUGAGGAAGGGUUGUGUUUUUGUAGAAAUAUGAGUUAGAGUUUAAUUCCUAGAUUACAAGAGUCUUGUAAUUUAUUGAUUGUUGAGGCUCAACUGUUUUAGUGGAGUUGGGAUUAAAUCCUGUAGAGAGGUACAGGUCGUGGUUUUUUAUACCUCUUUGAGCCGGGCGUUUUCCACGUAAAUAUCAUUGGUUUUAACCUGUUCCAUUAAUAGGCAACUGCUAGGCUAGAAUAAGUAAUCAGUAGGGCACGAACUCUAAUAUGACCUUAGGGGCUUUUGUGGAAGAGGUAAAGAGUUUUCUCGAAACGGAUUUGAGUUCUGAAUUAGAAUUCGUGUCAAGGUGGAGAUUGUUAGAGUUUGUGACCGGAAUUUUGUUUAUCUGAAAAGUUCGCAGUGCGACCCAUAUUUGUGAUUUUUAGUGGGGUUGUUUUUGGUGGUUUUUUACGUCAUUGAGACUUUCGUCUCCUCCUUAUACUCCCCUCCAUUAUAGUGAAUUUGGUUAGACCAUGUGAGGCGGCUUAGCUUAUGAUCCAUUAUGUGGCUCAUCAUGACCUGUUUGAGUGGAUCAAAUUCGACCCAACCCGCACAUUUACCACCCAUGAUGAAUCAAAACUAUAUAUAUUAGUAUUAACAUAUGACUCACCAGAGCUUGUCCAAGUCUUCCAUUCCAACCAUCAGGCAUCUUUGAAGAUCUAGAACCAGCCCACUCAGUCAUAGUUGCCUUGCCAAGUAUGAUAGCACCAGCAUUUCUCAACUUCUUGACCACACCAGCAUCUUGUGGCACAAUGGAUCCAACAAGUGCUAAUGAUCCUGCUGUUGUGUUAAGCUUAUCUUUUGUUGCAAUGUUGUCCUUGACAAGAAUUGGUAUACCAUGUAGCCUGCUGGACAGUAGCGCCCCCGAUUUUCGUUCUUGAUCAGCUUUAUCUGCAAGAAAGAGUGCAUCUGGAUUCACUUCUAUGAUCCCUUUUAUAAUUGGAUUAGCUUUCUGGAUUUCACUUAGAUAGAGCUCAACAAGUCGUCUUGAGGUAAGUUUGUUUUGCUUGAAAGCUAUUUGAAUAUCAUCUAUUGUUGUUUCCUUAAAUGAGAAUGUUUUUGCCUCAGUAAUGUUACUGUAGUUGGAUAAUAUCAUGCACUGAGAAAUGAAGGGAGUGGAAAGAACAGACAUUUUUGGUUGUCAAAGUGAUUGAAGAUACUUACGUCAACAUUAGCCACAAAAAAGUGGAUAAGGAAUAAAGAGUCAUGAUAGAGUUGUUUUUGUAUGACUUAUACGUCAUGAGCUGCGGAAACAAUUGUACGAGGGUAGACUACCUACAUACACACUUUUGGGUGUUGCCCUUCUCUAAAUUCUGUUGAUUAUAUAGGUCACGUGUUGAAGCAGGGAAUCAGUCACUAAUGCUUGUGUGAGGGUAGACUACCUACCUUACAUCUCUAAAUUCUGUUGAUACCGAGAUGUUUCAUGCAUCGAGCUGCAUAUUUUUGUAAUAGUGGAGAUGCAUAAUUAGAGCUGACCAUAAAGGUCUACUCCUUCCGAUCCCAAAUAUUAGUUGUUUUGACAAAGUAAAUUUGUUCCAAGAAAAUAAGAAAUUUACUUUCGAUUUUCAUCUUCCAAGUUUACCAUCAACACUUCAAUUCAAUUAUUGGAGUAUUAAUCAAGUGAGACGUUUAAGAGAGACAAAGGUUAGCCUAACAAAUACUUUUAUGAGUAAGGUUAUUAAAUAUAUACUUCUUCAGUCUCAUUUUAUGUGUUUUUUUUUUUAGUUCGUCUUAAAAAGAAUAUCACUUUUUCUUAUUUGGUAAUUAUUUAAUGACAUCAUUGUCAUUUUAUCCUUAGUGGAUCCUACUUAUUAAGAAAAAACAACUAAAAAUUAAACAAUAAAAGAGACAAUUUUGUAAACUUUACAAAAUUAUUACUCCAUCUGUUUCAUAAUAAAUGAAUUGUUGAAUUUUGACACACAGAUUAAGGAAAAAACAUUAAAGACAUAAAUUUAACAUAACUUUUCAUUUUUAUCCCAAAAAAAAGAAAAAGUUGACCUUGUAAUACCUUUUCAAAAAUUAAUUGAUUGUUCAAUGAUUCACUUAUUUUGAAACACUAAUAAAUAGCUCAACAAUUCACGUAAGUAAUUAUUUUUUUAAAUUCCAUGCUCGAUCAAAUAACAACAGAUAAAAUGAGACGAAGAUAGUAUUUUUUAAAUAGCGUGCCAAAAUUGUUAAAUACAGAUAAUAUGAAUCAAUAUUAUAAUAUAUGGAGAGGAUGGCCUGUUGAAAGAUAAGAUGCUUUUAAUGUGAUUUGACAGAUUUAUUUCCAAAAGAUCCAAAAUCCAAAUGCCUUUGUGGGUCCACUAAUCACUAUCAGACUAUUUUUUCUAUAAUACUCUUUCAGGGAAAGCAUAUGUUGCAAAUGACAAAUAAUUCAGAAAUUAUAAUUGUCAUGAUUGGUAAGUCUAUUCUCCUAGUUAAUUGAUCAUUACUACAUGCUAAUCAAUAUAUAUAUAAGUUGAAUGUAGAUCCGGUGAUGUGGCAUUCUUUAGAUUUUCCUUAUCUUCAGCUAUCUCAUUUAAGGAAUCAAUUAGUGCAGAGGCAAGAGAUCUUAGCUUGUUGAGGGAGUAAUCCUUCAUAUUCUCUUUAAUAUCUAAGAGAGAUGAAGGUCUACUUUCAUUUUUGUCUAUGUCUGCCAUCAACACAGGAAGUCCAUCAGAGGCUCGCACCAUUUUUUAUUGCCGUACAGGAAAUGUCUUUCUUUUGUUCAAACUCAUUUGAAUCACUUGAUGAAUCAUUCCACCAAGCUGCAAGCAUCUGACUGGCAAUUUUGUCAGCCUCAGUUUCCAGCUGCACUUCUCGGUGACCUUCUGCUUCCCCUUUUUGGACACCUCUUCAGAUCUAUACAAGUCUUCGAGAAACUUUUUUGCAAUCCGAGCUGUUUCACUAAUUUUUGAGGUGUAAGUAGCUUGUGAAGCCUUCAUUUCUCUGGAUCCUUUUAACGUGUUAGCCUGAUCACGGAAAAUCUGCUCUGAUAUCAAAUGAAAGGAUUGGGGGUGGGUUGGUUCUCGAUUCAGGGAAUUGUUCCCAGAAUCACACACGCAAUAAGAACCAAGAGGAAAAUGCAGUAAGUAAUGCAGGAGUACAAAAGGUAAAGACACUAGGAUUUUUAUAUGCAAACUCCUUGCCUGCCUCCAGGAUUUUUAUAUGCAAACUCAUUGGUUGAGUCAAAAAGAUUGCAACAACUUUUCACCUAACUUUUGUACUAUGUGUCAGCUGAAAAGUUGAUUGUCACAGUGAUAAGUGUGCCCAAUUUGUUCUAUAAUGCGUAGAGGCCUUUGUCGUCACAACAAAAACUUCAAGGAACAUAUUACAAACUAUGAAUUUGUCAAUCAUCAAAACUAAUAACACUUAACCUAUUUAAUUAUUUUUUUAAAAAAUAGAAUUUACAUAUGUGAAAUUUCCAUUUAAAAAUAAAAUUCUGAAAAGUAAAAAAUAUCUCUUUAAUAACCGUUUUAUAAUUCCCUUAAAAUUAUUAUCUCUUCCUCCCCUUUCUCAUCUUUCUUCUUCUUUUCACUUUAUUUCCAUAAUUUUUUUCAUAAAUCACACAUUAUAAUUUAGGACUUGACAAUCAAAAUUGUAUGAAAUGGAAUUACUAUUGUAUUUUAUAUUCACAUUUUAUUUUUGUUUUGUCUUUAAAAAAGAAAAAAAAGGAAAAGCAAUAAAGAGGAACAAAAGAAAGAAAAAAUAAAAUAAACUAAAAUAUCCUGAUAUAACAAGAAACAGUAGGUAGAAACAAACAACAUAUGACUUAUACUAAGGUGUUCUGAUAUAUGUCUUAUUUGUGAUUAUUAUUAAUGAGAAGAGUUAAUGAUCAAAAACACAUCUGAACUAUUGAUAUUUCGCGAGUUUCACAUUGCAAUAACCAGUUGUUCCCUUUUCCGAUCCGAGCUAUCACCAUCGUCCAGGCAGGAAAAGGGAACAACUUACAGUUCAUGAGGUGUAUUUUAAUAUAUAUAGAUGGUGAUAAUUCGGGGUGGAAAAAGAGAACAACCGAUAGUUGGGUGUGAAACUCGCGAAAAUGAUAGUUCAGGUGUAUUUUUGACCAUCAAUAAGCAGAAUGCAUCUGUAAUUGACGACUAGCUAUGAUGCGAAGAUAGAGGCUAAACAUGAAAUUCCUCGGGCAUAACAUUUUCAGUAAAACAAGAAAUUAGGAGAAGUUACUAACUACAUGAGCAUCAGGAAGAUGUGUAAUGUGUUGCAGUUGAGGACAGUGAACAUGAAACAAGAAUCACAUUUCCAUAACAUAACAAUUCUCAAUAGUAUGAAUCUUGCUAGAUAUUAACUAGAGUGGCCAGAAGAUAUAAAAGUUCAUCGAUAUUACUAUAUGAUUAUUUGUCUGUCAACAUUUUGCUCUGGAAUGCUGUACUUGAUAACGAACACAUCAUUUCGGAUGUGCAUACAUUCUAGAUCGAGUCGAAUAUGUAAUUCUUAUCGAGGAUGUGAAGGAGGGGGCUUCCUGAUAUGAGUUGCUUGUUCAAAACCAUAUGCAAUCUCGAUGAGUGUUGGCUCUGAACCCUUCAGUCCUCCAAAGGAAAUUCCAACGGGAACUCCACUUUUAUCAUAACCAGCAGGUACAUUGAUCCCUGGAUAACCUUCGAUCGCGAGAAGACUAGCAAUGUCUGCACCAGGUGACAUCAACGCGUCUAGCUUAUUAACUUUUAUCAUCUUCUCAAACCCGUAUUUGCAUACUUUUGUUAUGUUCCUCAGUGCCUCCCUUUCCAAUUUCCCUAUUCCAUUCGUCUUCUCAGCUGCCAUCAUUAUGCCUUGACCAUAUUCUUUGAACUUUUCCUACAAUAAUAUAUAAGAAGAACCAAUCGCUUAAACUAAGAAGGGGAGCCUUGGAGUAACCGAUAAAGUUGCUACCAUGUGACCAGGAGGUCAUGGGUUCAAGCCUUGGAAACAACCUCUGGCAGAAAUGCAAGGUAAGGUUGCGUACGAUACGCCCUUGUAGUGGGGCCCUUCCCUGGACACCGCGCAUAGCGGUAGCUUUGGUGCACCGGGCUGCCCUUUUUUUUUUCAGUCGCUUAAACUAGAAAUAGCCCGUGGAUGUAUAAUAUAUGUAUGUAUAAUAUGUGAAUAACAGUGUGUAAUUUAUGUUUACCGGAAAAGAACAGUAAACAGUGCAUCCGUCCAGCUACUUUAAACAUCCCUAAAAAGAAUGAAAACAGAUAUAUCUCGAUUCUACUUCUAGUGACAUACAUAAGUUCAGCUAAUUUCAAUUUACAAGUGAAAGCUUUUAGUUCCUGCAAUAAUGUACUACAAACGAAUAUGAACAUACUGUUAACAAAUUAUUUAUGAACAAAGUAGUAAUGGAGUGGCUUUGGCGUGAAUACGACAGAAUGAUUACAUCGAUUCCUAUAACUAAUAUCAACUUUGUCUGAUAUCAAGGUGCAGUUAAUUGAGAUCGACUAGUACUUACCGAAGCUGAAAUCUUGUUAAAGGCUAUGACAUCUGCCAAGGAUCGGACUUGAGUAUGAACUAGCUUCUUAAGAUAUGCAUUUAGGUCCAUCUUGAAUUCAGCAAAAAGUGCUAUGUCUUGAGCAUUAACAAUAGCACUGUAGACCAAGUCGAUGUUAGGUACUUCGACGUUGUCAACUAAUACUACUCCUUUUUGCCUUUCCAGAAAAAAAGCUCAUCUCUAUUAGGAAAUUAAGUAAAACUAAACCAGAGAAAGGCAUAAAACAUAGAUAGACACCUUAACUUUCUGGCAACUGAACACUUUAACUUAGAGCAUGCACAUCAAUUAAUCUCCAUUGUGUUAGUUGAACACUUCAACUAACAAAAUGAUCAUCUAGAAGCCUCCAAAAUUUAUGUGACACAUCAGCAUCGGGAGUCCAUGAAACACAACGAGAACGAGUAGAGGUGUUUAGAUGUGCACUCCCUAAUAUGGAGUGUUUACUUUUCAGUUGAGACUAGUCUUUUAUCUUUGAGAAAUGCAGACGAAAACGGAAAGAUUACCUCAAGGUGUUGAAAUGGUGUUGGCAAGCUUUGAUAUCAUUGGAACCCAAAAGGUCCUUUAAAAUACCUAGUCUUUUAUCUUUGAGCCCAUCAGCCUUAAGAAAUUGCCGGUAUCCACCAUGUGGAAUGUAAGUAGAAGCCUUUUUAGUAGCUGGAAAAUCAUCUCAAUCGAUGCCAACAAUGACAUCAAGAACCUCAACAGCAUGAGAUACUGUCCUGCAGAUUGGUCUGUUCUAUGCAAAAAAACACAUUGUGUGAAGAGAUUUCGAAUGUCUUCUAUGUUCAUGUUUGUUACCAAGUUCGUUGCAUCUCUAACAAACCUACAAUGUCUAAAUUCAGGAUCUAAUAAGUAAUCCUAUUUUGCACCAUCAAUUUUCACUAUUGUUCAAAAAUCUAGCAUUAAACAGUUCUGCAAAGAGAAAAAAGAUCGAAAACUCCAUCCAUUCUAGUUCUAGUUUAUGUGAGCUAUUUUCUAUCAGCUAGUCUGUUCCAAAAUGAAUGACACAUUUCUAUAUCCGGAGUUUUACUCUAAAUUUCUCGUUUUACCCUUAAUAAGAGUUUCAAAAGCCAACACAAAAAAUGACUCUAAUGAAGGUUAAACAUUCUGUGUAGAGGAAGAAAGUCAUAAUAUUGUAGCUGCGCACGGUUAUUUUUGCCGAUUGAUCUUCCAAUAUGCUAAUUUAACGACUCUCGUUCAUUACACUUCUUCCUUGCUGCUUGACAUCUAGCUGAUAGUAGGUUUACCGCUUUAGGUGUCAACACUACAACUUUCAGUCUAAGUAGUUUCAGUUACAACCAAUCUAUAGUUGAUAUUCAAAGAUCGAGUAAUUAAUACAUGAACUUCCCCUUCUUUCUUAAAGUAUGCACCAAGUCAAACUAUGUUACAUACAUUGUGACGAGAGUACUACUAGAGGAGAAAAACAUUCAGAAGAUCUAAAGUCUGAACUUUUACGUACCCAACAGUGUCUUGCAAUUGUGAAAUUGGGAUAACACCUGCCCUGUUAGUGAGGUCAACAGUUGGUUUGACUCCAACAACUGAAUUAGCAUUGGCUGGAUAUAGAAUGGAUCCUGCUGUUUCUGUCCCCAAUGCUAGUGCUGCAAGGUUUGCUGCUACUGAUGUUGCAGAACCAGUGCUUGAACCUGAUGGAUCAGCACUUGCUACAUAAGGAUUCUGUAACAACAUGAUGAGUAAAAAACACCAGGUUAUUAAACUCUUUUUAGUCAAAUUAUCAAAAAAGGCAGCCACGAGGGGGUGUGCAUAGACAGUCUGCCCUGACGUAAGCCUAGUGGUUGAUUCCCCAGCUCAAACAUGUGACCUAUAAGUCACACAGAAACAACUUUACCAUUGCUCAAACUUAAAGUAGUAUAUAGUGUUUAAUACUAUUAUAGGCUUCUUCAAAUCUUUGUUUGUCUUUCAUUUUUAUAUUUUGCAUCUUAACUAAUAUCAUAGAGGCGGUAUCAUCAUUUUUUUUCACUAAUUUUCUCAAUCUAUAAGUUUAACGACUUGAGUUAUGACCUGUUUUGGGACUUGAAUUACUUCUUCAUUACUCUUACAUGCUUGACUUAGUUAAGCUGUAUUUAGGGGAAUCAUUUUUUCUCAAUCAAUAAAGAACGAGACUUUACCAAACAAGCACCGAUAUUGAUGAUAGUGACCUUGAUACGGAGCUGGAACUGCAGAGAGACUCUUCCUAUCUUAUUAGUCAAGCGCUAAUUUACUGACAAUCACAUGUUAUAAUUCACUAGUGGUAUAAAAUUCCUUAUACCGUCCGUCAGCAUAUAUAACUUAAAAUUUUUUUACCAAUGACUCACCAGAGCUUGACCAAGUCUGCCAUUCCAACCACUAGGGAUAUUCUCAGUUCUAAAAGCAGCCCAUUCAGUCAUAGUUGCCUUGCCAAGUAUGAUAGCACUAGCAUUCCUCAACUUCUUGAUCACACCAGCAUCUUGUGGCACAAUGGACCCAACAAGUGCUAGUGAUCCUGCUGUUGUGUUAAGUUUAUCUUUUGUUGCAAUGUUGUCCUUGACAAGAACUGGUAUACCAUGUAGCCUGCUGGACAGUGGUACCCCCGAUUUUCGUUCUUGAUCAGCUUUAUCUGCAAGAAAAAGUGCAUCUGGAUUCACUUCUAUGAUCCCUUUAAGAAUUGGAUUAGCUUUCUGGAUUUCACUUAGAUAGAACUCAACAAGUUGUGUUGAGGUAAGUCUGUUUUGCUUGAAAGCUAUGUGAAUAUCAUCUAUACUUGUUUCCUUAAAUGAGAAUGUUUUCGCCUCAGAUUUGUUCCUGAAGUUGGAUAAUAUCAUGCACAGAGAACUGAAGAGAAUGGAAAAAAGAGACAUUUUUUGUUGUCAAAGUGGUUGAAGCUAUCUACUUCAAUAUUAGUCACAUAAAAAUGGAUAGGGAAUAAAGAGUCUUGGAGAAAUGAUAAAGAGUUGUUUGUUUAUGACUUAUAGAUCACGUGUUCGAGCGGUGGAAUCAUUCAGUAAUGCUUGUGUGAGGGUAGACUACCUACAUUACACACUUUGGGGUGCGGCCCUUCUUUAACAAGAAAGCAAAAAAGAACUGAAUUCAUGUCCUCAACCAAAGAUCAACAGGCAGAAUACAUCUUUAUUUGACAACUAACUAUCACACCAUGAUAGAGGCUAAACAAGAAAUUCUUUAGGCAUAACAGUCAGUAAAAUAAGACACUGUGAGAGGUUACAAACUACAUGAGCAUCAACACAGCGAGCAGAUAGAAGUAUCACAUCUCAAUUGGACUACUAUUGUUUUUGUCGGAUUAAGAGAAAGAUGGAUAACAUAAUAAUUCUCGAAGGUAUGACUCUUGCUAGAUAUUAACUAGAAUGACUCGAAGAUAUAAAAGUUCAUCAACGUUAUUUUAUGAUUUUUUUUUUCCUUUUGUCAACAUUUUGCUCUGGAACGUUGUACUUGAUAAUUAACAAAUCAUUUCAGAUGUGCAUACAUUCUAGAUUGAAUCGGAUAUGUAAUCCCAAUGAGGAUGUGAAGGAGGGGGCUUUCUGAUACGAGUUGCUUGUUCAAAGCCAUAUGCAAUCUCAAUGAGUGUUGGCUCAGAUCCCUUUAGUCCUCCGAAGGAAGUUCCGAAUGGAACUCCACUUUUAUCAUAACCAGCAGGUACAUUGAUCCCUGGAUAACCUCCUAUCGCGAGAAGAUGAGCAAUGUCAGCACCAGGUGACAUCAAUGCGUCUAACGCCUUUUCCUUCAUCAUCUUCUCGAACCCGUAUUUACAUGCUUUUGUUAUGUUGCUCAGUGCCUCCCUUUCCAAUUUCCCUAUUCCAUUCGUCUUCUCAGCUGCC
rnacentral:lncRNA from 1 species